rnacentral:tRNA from 1 species
GGAGGCUUCGCCUAGUCUGGUUUAUGGCGCCCGCCUGCUAAGCGGGUUUGGGGCUUAUACCCCAUCCCGGGUUCAAAUCCCGGAGCCUCCG